rnacentral:rRNA from 1 species
AUUGAACGCUGGCGGCAGGCCUAACACAUGCAAGUCGAACGAGUGGCGGAUGGGUGAGUAAUGUCUGGGAAACUGCCUGAUGGAGGGGGAUAAAUACGGGAACCGGUAGCUAAUAACGCAUACCAUCGGAUGUGGCAAGAUGGUAUUAGAUAGUAUGUUGGGUAAAGGCUAAUCUAGGCGACGAUCCCUAGCGGUUCUGAGAGGAUGACCAGCCAUACUGGAACUGCGGGACGGUCCAGAUUCCUACGGGAGGCAGCAGGUGGUAAUAUUGCCCAAGGGGGCCAAGCCUGAAACAGCCAUGCCGCGUGUAAUACGAAGGCCUUCGGGUUUUAUAGUACUUUCAGCGCUGCGGGGUUACCCGCAGAAUAAGCCCCGGCUAACUCCGUGCCAGCGGCCGCGGUAAUAC